rnacentral:tRNA from 2 species
UGGGCUAUAGCCAAGCGGUAAGGCAACGGACUUUGACUCCGUCAUGCGAUGGUUCGAAUCCAUCUAGCCCAGCCA